rnacentral:misc_RNA from 1 species
GUGGAUGGUUAAGAAGAACUUAUCAUGGCCAUGGAAAGGCAAUGAGCGAGAAGUAUCAGAGGCAAAGGCUACACGAUUUGUUUGGCCCUGGCUAAACAAUGACCAAGAUAAUGAGUGGAAUCAUUUCAAGAGUUCAAAUGCAGUAUCAACACCAGAUGAUCAGAUUAUCGAAAACAACCGUACAGCUACCAAUGAGGCUUGGG